CACCAGCAUCUGAUGAAGCUGCCAGCAUGAUCUUAACUUCUCUCUCUAUAUAUUAUAUAUGUAGAUUUGAUCAGGGAAGAUCAGAUCAUGUGGCAGUUUCACCCGUUGAUGGU
rnacentral:pre_miRNA from 4 species